UGAGGAGAGAAGAAGCUGGAACUCUCUGAU
rnacentral:piRNA from 1 species